UUUCCCCCUCUUUUUUUCUUAGCCAUCCUAGAUCCUACAGUAUAUUAUACUGUUCAAUUAUUAAACAGUAUAAUUGAACCCUUUACUGGUGUUCAAUCAUAUUGGUUGCUAUGAUUUUCAUCUACUAAAAAAUUUAUGGGCUUGUAGACUGGAAAGUUAUUGUUUGUUGGUUGUGGGGCAGAUGAUGGGAGCGGGGGAAGGCAUUCAGCUUAUCCCAUGA
rnacentral:misc_RNA from 1 species